UACGAAGGGUGCAAGCGUUACUCGGAAUUACUGGGCGUAAAGCGUGCGUAGGUGGUGAGUUAAGUCUGUCGUGAAAGCCCCGGGCUCAACCUGGGAAUGGCGAUGGAUACUGGCUCGCUAGAGUCCGGCAGGGGAGCAUGGAAUUCCUGGUGUAGCGGUGAAAUGCGCAGAUAUCAGGAGGAACACCAGUGGCGAAGGCGGUGCUCUGGGCCGGAACUGACGCUGAUGAGCGAAAGCGUGGGGAGCAAACAGG
rnacentral:rRNA from 1 species